CCCGCCCCCUCGUCCUUCUCCUUGCCCCCGGGACGCAGCACGGGCGCCAUGGACGUGAGCGUACCAUGGCAAUUGUAUUCUAAAGUAUAUCUUAAAAGAGUGGCUCUUAUGGACUAAGAUGAGACGAAUCUGUAGUACAUGAGGAUGAUCUUAGUAAUUUAGAAAAGAUGCCAAUGCUGCAUUGCUGAGUAACUUUGAGCUAUGUUCCCUCUGUCCUCUGGGAGCUUGUGCCUAUUCUGUGACAGUCUGAUCCCUUCCUCACCAUAGUCCUGUGCCUUUAUUUACUUUUUCUUGCCUUUUUUCAUCGUUUUCAGCCCUUUCUCUUGCCAUAACCCCCCCUUUCAUUUUGUUUCUCCUCUCCUCUUGCUGUGGCUGCUCUGUUGCUUUCUUCUUUUCCGUUUCCCCUCCUGAUAUAUCCCGUACCUUUCUCCUCUCCUCUCUUGUUUCUUUGUUUUUUUCCAGUUUCUUUGUUCCUUGUUGGUUAUAUGACCACCCAUCCCUGACCCCUCUGGUUCCUUGCAUAGUUAACCCUUUUCUUGCUGGAAUGGCUGAAGGCAGCUCCCAGUCGUCUGUUGCUGAGGCUUCUGCCCCUUUGGACUUGAGUUUUGGAGUCCGGCUUCAUGCCCCUUCCUUCAUCGGGGUGGAGGAGUGCGCCUCUGCUGUGGGUGCACUAGUAGGCUUCAGAAACGUCCUUUAUGCUGACCGAGUGAGUUCGGACCCUGUCAUUUUCCUCAGCUCGCCUGCUUUGGCGCGUGAAGUUGUGUUAACAGGUGUGACUGUCAGGGGUGUGUUUUGUGUCGCAACACCCUUAGACGCAGAGCCAUUCAGGUGGUAGCCUCUAAUGUUCCUCUCCUCCAUUUCUCUCGGACGAUGAGCUCACCAACCGCCUGCGCCCCUAUGGCAUGGUCACAGGGCCUGUCUGUAGACUGUCACUUGGCAGCGGCGGUCCUGUGCUCCAGCAUGUCCUGUCCUUUAAAAGGCAGAUGUUCAUGCUUCUUGUCCGGGAGGCUUGGGGUUUACCCCACUCCCUGUCUUUCACGAUUGACGGGCAGUGUUAGGAGGCUUACCUUACUGUUGGGGACAUCUCGUGCUUUUGCUGUGGCUGCCCAGUGCCCAAGGAAGAAGCCGGUUGCAGCGGAGCCACCUGUGGCUGCGCCCGACGGUUCGUCCGCCUCUGGUGCGGAUGCCUCGUUGGGUGGUGGGGAUGUGCCUACCUUCCAGCCGCUCCCCAGUUCGUCAGAGACAGGUGGCUCCGCGAGGGUGGAUUUGGGGCUCCUCCUUGCUUCCCCCCCAGGAGAGGCUUUGGUUCCUUCUGCUGAGGAGCAGACCUCCCAGCAACAGAAGGAGUCUUACAAGAAGGCCUUGUCAACCCCUUAAGACCUCCCCACCACUUCAGGGGGAGCUGGGGUUAGCGAGCAGGAUUCACCCUAUCUGCCUGCCUCCUCGGCACCCCCCUAGGCCUGGGAGCGAGGUGGGGUCCAAUGGCCCUCCCCUCGCUUCUCAGCUCCCUGAGCCUGAUUAUGUCAAAAUGGGCCCUCUGGGAGCCACCGGUGUUACCAAGAGAGAGAUUCCAGCCCAGGAGAGUGCCCCCCUAAUUGUUCAGGGACUAAUGCACCCUCAGAGCCCUUUAGAGGAUGCCACCACCAUAGGGCCUGAUGCUGGGAGUCCUGGUGAGGGGACACAUACCCCCCCCCAGGCCUCGGCAACUCUCUGUGCAUAACGUGUGCCUCUCUUCCUCCUUGAGGUCAGAUUUUGAUUCAAGUUGAGGGAAGUCCUGCCUCAAGGAGUGGCGUCCCCGACUCAGCUAAAGUCCCCCCCACAUAAUCUACAUCCCGGUGGCGGAGCCUGCUCCUGCCUCUGAGGAACCUCCCUGUUGGUUACCCCGUUGAGCGCCUCAUUGAGUCUCUUAACCAGACCAAGCAUCACUGGAAAGUUGCCCAGUGUAUUCGUAAAUGGUUCCCGGAACCUGAGACAUUUGUGCUUUCUGCUAAGGCCGCAGUAGCGAUGCUGCACUCCACCCUGGGGAUGCAGCAUUAUAGCUUUCACCUAAGCAAGCUCGCGGACGAUGUUGGGUGCCUGUUGCAGGAAGCUUUGGCUAGCAAUCUGUAGGCCCAUUUUUUUUCUUGUCCUGCGUGCUUCCUCCUCUCUGGUACUUCUGUCUGCUCUUUUGGCUUUGCCUGUCCUCCUUUCUACACCCUUUAUGCAUGGCUGCUACGGCUUUUAGUUGUCUCAGUGUCAGCAGCUGCAGAGAUCCUGGGAAGCAGACGGCUCUUUGAUUUCCUGCAUCAGAAACGUCUGGAUGUAGCUUUCCUGCAGGAAACCCAUACUGAUGCUGCCAAUCAGGCUGACUGGCAUGUUGCCUGGAGAGGCCACAUGUUCCUGAGUCCUGGCACCUCCCUCAGCGCAGAGAUUGCAGUCGUCUUCUUGCUGCAGCUGAUGCCUGACAUUGCGGUAGUCCAAGAGGUCAUCCCUGGCUGCCUGCUAACUGUUUGCCUCUCUUUGGCACAACGUCGUCUCCUCUUCUACGCACCCACAAUGUGGCCGUCCUCCUCGGUACCCAGGGUGAUGUCCGGUCAUUGGUUGACUGUCAGCGUGCUUAUGACUGCGCUUCUUCAGCUUGCAUCGACUGCAUCAACAGUGAAACCCUACUUCUCGGUGCUUGGGCCGACCUCUUUCACCCUGGACCUGCCCAGAGGUCUCUCCUGGCGUCUCAAGGGCCUUAAGGCCCUAGGGGCGUUCCUCCGACCAUCUGUCUUCCCUCACUAGAAUUGGGAGGGCCUCAGCAAUGAGGUGGAGGCAUGUCUGCGGCAAUGGCACUGGUGUCUGCCUGGCCUCUUCUACCACCGACGGGUCCUCAUUGUGAACGACUUAGCAGCCACAACAUUAUGGCACUGAUGUGCCGUGUUGGACCCCCGCCGCCAGACUGACUUGACAUGCUGCAGAGACUGUUUGUGGAUUUUUUCUGGGAUGGAUGCCAUUGGCUCCUCUGAGCUGUUCUCUAGCUGCUGAUGGCCAAGGGAGGCCAGGGCUUGGUUGACUUGGCAGGCAGGAUAGCUGCUUUCCUCCUGCAGGCCCUCCAGAGACUACUGUGAGGAGUCCCCUGCACCUCUUCCCCCUGGCAACAGCUGGCCUAUGUGUUUCUGUGAUGGGUGGGGGACCUCGGGUUCGACCGAGAGCUCUUUCUCUUGGAUCCUGCCCUCUUGGACUGGGGUAUCCUCCAGCCCUACUGCAGCCUGGCGCAGGCCUGGCAGGCCACCUUCUGCCUCCAGCCCUGAGCUAGGCACCUGUGGCUUCCAGAGUUGCUGCAGGAGCUCCUUGUCUACAACCCGGCCCUGCGGCACAGGCUGCUGAGUCUUGGCUCUGAUAGCCUUGCUGACUCGCAUCUGAUUGCAUACUCUCCAGCUGGGCCACCUUUUUGACGUGACCUGGUCAGAUUGGCUGUAGGCUGAGGCUCUGGCUGCCUGCUCGGGCAUGUGCUCGGUUUGCUGUGCCACCUGCCUCCUGGGGGACAUGCGGGCCACCCUCGCAGCAGAGGCAGCGGGUGCCAAAACCACCUCUCAAUAUAGUGGGUAAUCCCUGCCGGGGAUGUCCCAGGUGAACCCUUUCCACUGCUGCCUGUUGUCCCAGCCAUGGAUAGUGACCGGGGUGGUAGGCCUGGCAUUUUACUGGCUCCUCCCAUGCCUCUGAUGGCGAUGCUGGGGUUCGCUUUAACACGCUUCAUCAAAAAGCCCUGUACACUUGGUUGAUUUGUGUCUGCUACUCCCACGUCCUUGCCAGUUGUCUUGACGCUACAUGGUGGUGGCUAGUGGCACCGGCACUCACGCCAGCCCGCCCCACAUAGCGCACAUUUUAUAUGCUGCCCUUUGCCAAAAGGACCGGUGACCUCCAGUGGCGGUUGCUGCAUGGGAUGCUGGCCACCGGCACGCUCAUCUGCCACGUGGAUCCGAGUGUGUCAGAGACCUGCCCCUUGUGUCCGGGGGGAGGUAGAGGCAGAUCUGUUCCACGCCUUCCUUGGGUGCCCCUGACUGCUGUUGCUCUUUGCUACCUUUGGCACUUUGUUCGAGGUGCUGGACUUGGACCGCUCAGAGGCUACUUUUUUGUUUUCCCUUUCAUACCUGGCAGGGGGGAGGGGGAUGUCAUCUGCCUGACUAACUUUCUGCUUGGCCAGGCCAAGAUGGCCAUCCUCAAGAGCUGCAGGAACUGGCUUGCUGGGACCAAUUCUGAUGAUGCCUUAUGGCUCUUUCGGUUCAUGGUCCAUGCAUGCUUGUCACUGCAAUUCGAGCAUGCGGUCCUCCAGCAGACAGUACCAGCCUUCCAGGCACCACUGGGGCAUUCAGGAGAUGCUCUGCAGCGUUGAGGGUGGCUGUUUGGUCCUUGUUCUGUGAUACUGCUUGCCCCUUCCCAGGGUACUGGAAGGGGUCUUAGUAGGUUGAUGUUGUACCGGGUGUUUUUGUUUGUAGACUGUGAGGGCAGGCCUUGCGGGCCAUAGCCCCAGGCUCUUUCUGUUGUACCUGGGCCCCUGUGUGGGCUGUCCUUUGUUGUACUGCUACUUUUGUUCCUUUAAACGUUUAUAAAAUUCUUUUAGUACUGCUUUCGUGGUAAAGAUGAACAGGAUUCAAUCCCAGACACACAAAAUCAAAUGAUAGUGUGUGUGUGUGCGUGCAUGCACAUGCACAUCUAAAUGUAAGAGAGCCAGCAUCCAGACCAUCAGCCAUUUUAAAGCUGCUCUUCUCUGCUUUCUCUCUGUCACUUUUUAAACUGAUUUGCCAGAUUCUGUCUUUAAGUGUAGUGUUAAUGAGGGGCCUCAUUUCACGCUCUUUUAUGCCAGCUUUAAGCCUGGGCUAGUGCCCUUGUUUGUUAGCAAUCGCACUGUUCAUACAUCAGACUCCAUAUCCUUCAGUUUGCCAGUUUUGUUGCAGUGAAAAGUAGAAUCAAAUUAAUGCAUUUUUAAAUCACAUGUAAGAUGGAAACUAAUAGAUAGCCAACAGCACUGGUGCUCAACCUUUUGUUUGACCCUGUGAGCUAGACGAGUGGUAUGGGCCAGAUGGAGCCUCAUGCUGCCUCUGCCUAGCCCUGUGUGUUGGGAUCAGGCUCCGUGCUGCCCUGAGUGGCCCUGUGCUACGUGCUGCCUGGAUCAGCCUCGUGCCACCCUGCAUGCCCAGUGUAGUGUGCAGGGCCAUGUUGUUUGGCUCAAGGGGCUGCCCCCCAGUCCAGAAAUUUGGCAGCAAGGAAGGGGCUUUACUUGCCACCCUGUCACCAGAUUUUUAGACCCCUGGUGAGUCCCGCAGGCUAGAUGAUCUGGCUUCAUGGGGUAUACCUGGCCAAAAACAUUAGACAGCAUAUGCUGGAUCCUCUUUAAUGUUCCAGAGAGAUAUGAAUUGAAACAGUAGGAGUACUUUGCAAACGAUUCCAGGUGUUUUCUCAAAUGGCUGCUGACAGCAGUGCUGUUACUUCAUAUGUAAUUUUAUGUACACGAAUACAGUAUCAGCCUGGAGCCCAGGACUUGCUGAAAUGCUUAAAUAAAUUGAAGACUGCUACUAAAAAUAAAUAAGCUUCUAAGUC